rnacentral:lncRNA from 1 species
CUCCAUCUUGCUUCUAACCUCCAAGCUGUCCUUGUUCAUUCCUGGGCGCAGGCUAAACUAACUUUGGGAGAAACUUAGCUUAUAGUUUAUUGUUUAAACAAAGAUGGUAACAGCCCUUUCCCAAAGCAGACCUCCUUCUUGCCUGGGGACUAGAUUGCCUUUGUAGGGCUAACAUUAGCCAGAAGAUUAGAAAUUAUGGUUUGGGAGUUCAUGCAGCUGGAGGCUACAAGAUUCUGACCCUCCCUAAACUGCCCCUAAGAUCAGUGCCUGAGAUAUUUUGCAGACCCUUCACUUGAUGGAUCAGCUGGCACCACCCAGAUAGUUAAACUGGCUCUUCUGAUCUUGUGGCCCCCACCCAAGAACUGAUUGAACGCAAGAAGGCAGCUCUGACUCCCUAUGAUUUCAUCUCUGACCAAUCAGCACUCCUGACUCACUGGCUUCUCCCGACCCACCAAGUUAUCCUUAACAGCUCUGCUCCCUGAAUGCUCGGGGAGACUGAUUUGAGUAAUAAUAAAACUCGGAUCUCCCGCACAGCCAGCUCUGCACGAAUUACUCUUUCUCUAUUGCAAUUCCCGUCUUAAUGAAUCGGCUCUGUCUAGGUAGCAGGCAAGGUGAACCCCUUGGGUGGUUGCAGGUUAAGCAAAUAGGUCAGGUGAUUUUAUGUUCAUUUUAGCUGUAGAACUUUGUUCUAGUCUAUCUGAAAAGUUUUUAGACAAGAAAGUCAAGGGAGGUUUUCACGAUCAGUGGACUCUUCCUUUUUUUUUCAAAAAUCGAGUUGGUUCAAUGAGUAUUAUUUAUUGAGGGAACUCUUUAAAAUACUGAACAUUGUUAAUGACUUUCACGCGCGUCCGUGUGAAGAGACCACCAAACAGGCUUUGUGUGAGCAACAAGGCUGUUUAUUUCACCUGGGUGCAGGCGGGCUGAGUCCGAAAAGAGAGUCAGCAAAGGGAGAUGGGGUGGGGCCGUUUUAUAGGAUUAGGGAAGGUAAUGGAAAAUUACAGUCAAAGGGGGUUUGUUCUCUGGUGGGCAGGUGUGGAUCUCACAAAGUACACUCUCAAGGGUGGGGAGAAUUACAAAGGACCUUCUUAAGGGUGGGGGAGAUUACAAAGUACAUUUAUCAGUUAGGGUGGGGCAGGAACAAAUCACAAUGUUGGAAUGUCAUCAGUUAAGGCUGUUUUUACUUCUUUUGUGGAUCUUCAGUUACUUUAGGCCAUCUGGAUGUAUACGUGCAAGUCACAGGGGAUGCGAUGGCCUGGCCUGGGCUCAGAGGCCUGACAUUCCUGCCUUCUUAUAUUAAUAAGACAAAUAAAACAAAAUAGUGUUGAAGUGUUGGGGCAGCGAAAAUUUUUGGGGGGUGGUAUGGAGAGAUAAUGGGCGAUGUUUCUCAGGGCUGCUUCAAGCGGGAUUAGGGGCGGCGUGGGAGCCUAGAGUGGGAGAGAUUAAGCUGAAGGGAGGUCUUGUGGUAAGGGGUGAUAUCAUGGGGAUGUUAGAAGAAACAUUUGUCGUAUAGAAUGAUUGGUGAUGGCCUGGAUACGGUUUUGGAUGAUUUGAGAAGCUAAAUGGAAGAUACAAGGUCCGAAUAAAAGGAGGAGAAAAAUGGGUAUUAAAUGUCUAAGAAUUGGGAGGACCUAGGACAUCUGAUUAGAGAGUGCCUAAGGAGAUUCAGCAUAGUCCUGCCAGCAAAGAUUAUUUACUUCAAGAGUUAAGAGUGGCAGUUUGGGGAUAGCACCAGGAGAUAUCAGCUGUGAUGGCUUGGAGAAACAGUGUAAACCGGCAGUGUAAACAAGAGCAGGGCAUGUAUGAGUAGUUGAGAACGGUGAAUAGGAGUAUGACUAGACAGAAGAUAGUAGGGAUGACAAGUUUUUUGGGGCACAGUCUAAGUUGGUCUGGUGUCUGGAAUGAGACUGGGGCCUAAUAAAAAGGAGCGUCUAUACAGGAGCUUAAAUGGGAUGUACCUUGUAGCAUUCUGAGGACAGGCCUGAUUUCUGAGAAGGGAAAGUGGUAAAAGUAUUGUCCAGUCCUUUUUAAGCUGGUGGCUGAGCUUGGUGAGGUGUGUUUUUAAAAGACCUUUAGUCCGUUCUACUUUUCUUGAAGAAGGAGGACCGUAAGGGAUAUAAAGGUUUCACUGAAUACUAAGAGCCUGAAAAACUGCUUGGCUGAUUUGACUAAUAAAGGCUGGUCUGUUAUCAGACUGUAUAGAGGUGGGAAGGCUAAACUGAGGAAUUGUGUCUGACAGAAGGGAAGAAAUGACUGUGGUGGCCUUCUCAGACCCUGUAGGAAAGGCCUUUACUUUAUUCAGUGAAAGUGUCUAUUUAGACUAAGAGGUAUUUUAGUUUCCUGAAUCAGGGCAUGUUGAGUAAAGGUAAUUUGCCAGUCCUGGGUGGGGCAAAUCCUCCAGCCUGAUGUGUAGGGAAGGGAGGGGGCCUGAAUAAUCCCUGAGGAGUAGUAGAAUAGCAGAUGGAACACUGAGAAGUUAUUUCCUUGAGGAUAGAUUUCCACGAUGGAAAGGAAAUGAGAGGUUCUGAGAGGUGGGCUAGUGGCUUGUACUAUAGCAUAACCUGCCUUUGCUGGUGUGUGGCGAUUAGGCCUGGUGGAACUUCCAUCAAUAAAUCAAGCGUGAUCAGGGUGAGGAACAGGAAAGAAGGAAAUAUGGGGUGAAUAUCAGGUGGAUCAGAGAGAUACAGUCAUGGAGGUCAGGUGUGGUAUCAGGAAUAAUGUGGGAGGCCAGAUUGAAGUCCAGGCCAGGAACAAUGGUAAUUGUGGGACUUAAGAAAGUGUGAGUACAGCUGAAGGAGCCGGGGAGCAGAAAGUAUAUGCGUCAGGUAUGAGGAAGAAAAUAGAUUUUGGAAGUUAUGAGAAAUGUAGAGAGUGAGUUGAGCAUAGUUUGUGAUUUUGAGGGCCUCUAACAGUAUUAAAGCAGCGGCAGCGGCUGCACACAGACAUGAUGGCUAGGCUAAAACAGGAAGGUCAAGUUGUUUGGACAGAAAGGCUACAGGGUGCAGUCCUGGCUCUUGUGUAAGAAUUCUGACCACACUAACCAUGCCUAGGAAGGAAAGGAGUUGUUCUUUUGUAAGGGAUUGAGGUUUGGGAGAUUAAUCGGACACGAUCAGCAGGGAGAGCACCUGUGUUUUUAUGAGAAUUAUGCUGAGAUAGGUAACAGAUGAGGAUGAAAUUUGGGCUUGACUGAAGUAAUGGGGGCUGUCUGUGAAGCCUUGCGGCAGUACAGCCCAGGUAAUUUGCUGAGCCUAAUGGGUGUCAGGGUCAGUCUAAGUGAAGGCAAAGAGAGGCUGGGAUGAAGGGUGCAAAGGAAUAGUAAAGAAAGCAUGUUUGAGAUCCAGAACAGAAUAAUGGGUAGUAGAGGGAGGUAUUGAGGAUAGAAGAGUAUACGGGUUUGGCACCACGGGGUGGAUAGGCAAAACAUUUGGUUGAUAAGGCGCAGAUUCUGAACUAACUUGUAAGGCUUGUCUGGUUUUAGGACAGGUAAAAUGGGGGAAUGGUAAGGAGAGUUUAUAGGUUUUAGGAGCCCAUGCUGUAGCAGGCAAGUGAUAACAGGCUUUAAUCCUUUUAAAGCAUGCUGUGGGAUGGGAUAUUGGUGUUGAGCGGGGUAAGGGUGAUUAGGUUUUAAUGAGAUGGUAAGGGGUGCAUGAUCGGUCGCCAAGGAGGGAGUAGAGGUAUCUUAUACUUGUGGGUUAAGGUGGGGGGAUACAAGAGGAGGACGCAAAGGAGGCUUUGGAUUAGGAAUAAGGGCGGCAAUGAGAUGCAGCUGUAGUCCAGGAGUAGUCAGGGAAGCAGAUAAUUUAGUUAAAGUGUCUCGGCCUAAUAAGGGAACUGGGCAGGUGGGGAUAACUAAAAAGGAGUGCGUAAAAGAGUAUUGUCUAAGUUGGCACUAGAGUUGGGAAGUUUUAAGAGGUUUAGAAGCCUGGCCGUCAAUACCCACAGCAGUUAUGGAGGCAAGGGAAACAGGCCCUUGAAAAGUAGGUAAUGUGGAGUGGGGAGCCUCCAUAUUGAUUAAGAAGGGGACGGACUUACCCUCCACUGUGAGAGUUACCUAAAGCUCAGUGUCUGUGAUGGUCUACAGGGCUUCCGAGGUGAUUGGGCAGCGUCAGUCUUCAGCCGCUAAGCCGAGAAGAUCUGGGAAGGAGUCAGUCAGAGAGCCUUGGGCCAGAGUUCCAGGGUCUCUGGGAGUCGCUGCCAGAAAAUGAUACAGAGCCCACUAAUUUAUUUGAUGAGGAUGUUACCAGAAAGGGGUCCUGAACCAGACCCCAAGAGAGGGUUUUUGUACCUCGCAAAAGAAAGAACUCAGGAUGUUCCGGGGCUGAUCUUGAGACAGACACACCAAGCCUAGAGAUCCAGCUGCAAAGUUCCAGAGAUUACUUCAAGGUGGCUAGCCAACAACCCAGCCAUUGUGGAGAUGACAUCAGCCCAAAGGCCAGGUGGACUGGGACCCAAGACAGCCACCAGCAUAAGACACACAGACAUUUUGCUCAGCCCGAGGUCCAGGUGGACUGGGUCCCAAGACAGCCACCAGGACAAGACACAAAGGCAUUGUACUCAGCCCAAUUCUUGCAUGCCUUUCUUAACAAGUUUUCCCCUUUUUAAACCCCUUCCUUCCCCCCACCAAAUUGAAGUGGUUACUUUGGAUAGGCAUCCAAUCAUUUCCCCUUCACUAGUUUUGGUUAAUAAAGUCAUUUUCUUUCUACCAGACCUCACUCUUGUUACUGGACUCUGUACGCAGUGAGCAUCCGGACCUGUGUUCAGUUACAAACCAAUGUCCACAGUUUACAUUAGGGUUCACUCAGUGCUGUGCAUGCUAUGGGCUUGAACAAAUGUAUCAUGCCAUGCAGCCACCGUUGCAGUAUCAUCCAAAAAAGCUGUGCUUAUUGCUUUCCUAAAAGCAUGAGGCUUCUGGAGUUCCGUUCUACAGGAAGAGAGAAGAGAAAUGGAAUGAACCCUAGGAUUCAUUGCAGCAUUAUUCACAAUGGCCAAGAUGGAAACAACCUCGGUGGCUGUCUACAGAUGAAUGGAGAAAGAAAAAUGAUAUUAGGCAGCCAUAAAAAAGAAAGAAAUGCUGCCAUCUUCAACAACAUGCGUGAACCUAGAGAACACUGGACUAAGUAAAACAAGUCAGACACAGGAGGACAUUUGGC